rnacentral:rRNA from 1 species
UACGUAGGCAGCGAGCGUUGUUCGGAAUUACUGGGCGUAAAGAGUGUGUAGGCGGUGCUCUAAGUUCGGUGUGAAAUCCCCCGGCUUAACUGGGAGGGUGCGCCGGAAACUGGAGUGCUCGAGCGUGGGAGAGGAAAGCGGAAUUCCUGGUGUAGCGGUGAAAUGCGUAGAUAUCAGGAGGAACACCUGCGGUGUAGACGGCUUUCUGGACCAUUGCUGACGCUGAGACACGAAAGCGUGGGUAGCAAACAGG